UACGAAGGGGGCUAGCGUUGCUCGGAAUCACUGGGCGUAAAGGGUGCGUAGGCGGGUCUUAAGUCAGGGGUGAAAUCCUGGAGCUCAACUCCAGAACUGCCUUUGAUACUGAAGAUCUUGAGUUCGGGAGAGGUGAGUGGAACUGCGAGUGUAGAGGUGAAAAUUCGUAGAUAUUCGCAAGAACACCAGUGGCGAAGGCGGCUCACUGGCCCGAUACUGACGCUGAGGCACGAAAGCGUGGGGAGCAAACAGGG
rnacentral:rRNA from 1 species